rnacentral:lncRNA from 11 species
AUGGCCAUGGUGCCCGAGAGUGACGAGAGUUGUAGUCCAAUACAUCAGGAGGUUGCCAGAUUUAUUAAUGCUGAUUUACAGAGACACCAAUUACAUGAAGUAGCUAGAACUGGUUUUUGUUGUAGCAACAGUGUUCCUAUACUCAGACCACACGCAUACCAUGAAACAGGACUGGAGGACCUGGAAGCCCACAAACACUUUGGAGAUUUCUUUGGAGUGUGGAUUGCAGAAUGGAAAAAUUCUAAGAGAAAGACAAGUUCCGUUUCAGAAUGGAAACUGUUUUGUUUGAAGGAGAACCUGAUAGAGUUUCGAAUCAUGGUGAGAUCAAAGAUUGGCAGGGACCCUCAAGUAAGUAAUAUUUCUGCUGCCUCCUCUGCAUAGUUGAAUUUUCAUAAAGCAAAAUCUUGAUUUAAUUGUCCUGUCCCCAUCUUACUAAUUUAAUGAAUGCUGAGCAAAAACUCAAGUAAUGGGAAGAAUAUAACUCAACUAAUGAAAUGCAUGUGCACGCUCUUGUGUGUUAACUUAAAGGCUUAUGUGUCUUUAAAAGAUGGUAUUAUACUCCAGGUAACAAGUAAAAUAUGUGACUUCAAGUCAUAUGUUGACUUAAGUGCAUCAUGAAAUUUACAGGAUUUUCAUAAGAAGAUGCUAUUGUUUUCCUCAGAAUAUAGCCUGUACAGUCUAUAGAUAGCAUAAUGUGAAAAUAGGAAGGGUUCUGAUACAUUUGAAAAUUGAUGAUGUGUGAAUGUCAUGUUCUGAUCUUGGACUUACUUCGAUGGCUUCCUUAAUUUCAGCAUAAGUUUGUUUAUAUUGACUUUGUGUUAUACUGCAAUCUAAAUCUGUUGGACUAGUAAAAUGAAAGCAAUUUUGGUAAGGAUUUUUUUUCUGUACAAAACAAUCAAAUAAAGAAACUUGAAGUUAUUUUAAAGCAUAUACUUGGCCUUUUUAUAUAUUACUAGCUUGGUUGUCUGAGGAAGUGUGUGAAGGGACUAUAAAUCCCAUAGUCCCUGGUCUGUUGUCCCCUAAGGACAUAAAGUGGGUCACAUUGCACCUUUAUGUCAAGUUUGGUACAGUUUCAUCAUUCAUGGGCAUCACAGUGGUUUGUGGGAGGUGAAUCGGAUGAAGGUACUGGAAAUCCCAUCAUCCUUGGUUGAUUCUCUUGCAAACCACACCAGGAUGUAAAGUGGGCCACAUUGCACCUGUGUGUCAAGUUUGGUACAGUUUUGUCAUUCAUGGGCAUCACAGUGGUCUGUGGGAGGUGAAUUGGAUGAAGGUACUGCAAAUCCCAUCAUCCUUGGUCCAUCCUGCCCUAAACUGCACCAGGAUUUAAAGGGGGUCACAGGGAUUGUGUGUGCCAAGUUUGGUCCAGUUCCCUCACUGGUAGGCGUCGCAGUGUCUGUGGAAGGCAAAGCUAUCGAAAGUACUGCAAAUCCCAUCAUCCGUGGUCCAUCUUCCCCCAAACUGCACCAGGACAUAAAGUGUGUCAUGGGGGUUCUGUGUGCCAAGUUUGGGCCAGGUCCGUCGUUCCUGGCGGUCGCAGUGACCUGUGAAAGGGGGAGCGAAUCAGAAAGCUGCCACAUACACCACUGCAUACAUACCCACAUACAUACAAACACUGACUUUAAUUAUAUAUACAGAUUGUUAUGUAAAGAAAUUUAG